rnacentral:rRNA from 1 species
CACGAAGUGAGUGGCGAACGGGUGAGUAACACGUGGGUAACCUGCCCAGAAGUAGGGGAUAACACCUGGAAACAGAUGCUAAUACCGUAUAACAGAGAAAACCGCAUGGUUUUCUUUUAAAAGAUGGCUCUGCUAUCACUUCUGGAUGGACCCGCGGCGUAUUAGCUAGUUGGUGAGGUAAAGGCUCACCAAGGCAGUGAUACGUAGCCGACCUGAGAGGGUAAUCGGCCACAUUGGGACUGAGACACGGCCCAGACUCCUACGGGAGGCAGCAGUAGGGAAUCUUCCACAAUGGACGCAAGUCUGAUGGAGCAACGCCGCGUGAGUGAAGAAGGGUUUCGGCUCGUAAAGCUCUGUUGUUAAAGAAGAACGUGGGUAAGAGUAACUGUUUACCCAGUGACGGUAUUUAACCAGAAAGCCACGGCUAACUACGUGCCAGCAGCCGCGGUAAUACGUAGGUGGCAAGCGUUAUCCGGAUUUAUUGGGCGUAAAGCGAGCGCAGGCGGUCUUUUAAGUCUAAUGUGAAAGCCUUCGGCUCAACCGAAGAAGUGCAUUGGAAACUGGGAGACUUGAGUGCAGAAGAGGACAGUGGAACUCCAUGUGUAGCGGUGAAAUGCGUAGAUAUAUGGAAGAACACCAGUGGCGAAGGCGGCUGUCUGGUCUGCAACUGACGCUGAGGCUCGAAAGCAUGGGUAGCGAACAGGAUUAGAUACCCUGGUAGUCCAUGCCGUAAACGAUGAUUACUAAGUGUUGGAGGGUUUCCGCCCUUCAGUGCUGCAGCUAACGCAUUAAGUAAUCCGCCUGGGGAGUACGACCGCAAGGUUGAAACUCAAAAGAAUUGACGGGGGCCCGCACAAGCGGUGGAGCAUGUGGUUUAAUUCGAAGCUACGCGAAGAACCUUACCAGGUCUUGACAUCUUCUGACAGUCUAAGAGAUUAGAGGUUCCCUUCGGGGACAGAAUGACAGGUGGUGCAUGGUUGUCGUCAGCUCGUGUCGUGAGAUGUUGGGUUAAGUCCCGCAACGAGCGCAACCCUUAUUACUAGUUGCCAGCAUUAAGUUGGGCACUCUAGUGAGACUGCCGGUGACAAACCGGAGGAAGGUGGGGACGACGUCAAAUCAUCAUGCCCCUUAUGACCUGGGCUACACACGUGCUACAAUGGAUGGUACAACGAGUCGCGAGACCGCGAGGUUAAGCUAAUCUCUUAAAACCAUUCUCAGUUCGGACUGUAGGCUGCAACUCGCCUACACGAAGUCGGAAUCGCUAGUAAUCGCGGAUCAGCAUGCCGCGGUGAAUACGUUCCCGGGCCUUGUACACACCGCCCGUCACACCAUGAGAGUUUGUAACACCCAAAGCCGGUGGGGUAACC